rnacentral:rRNA from 1 species
UGGACAAUGGAGGAACUCUGAUCCAGCCAUGCCGCGUGCAGGAUGAAUGCCCUAUGGGUUGUAAACUGCUUUUAUACAGGAAGAAACAUUUCCACGUGUGGAAACUUGACGGUACUGUAAGAAUAAGGAUCGGCUAACUCCGUGCCAGCAGCCGCGGUAAUACGGAGGAUCCAAGCGUUAUCCGGAAUUAUUGGGUUUAAAGGGUCCGUAGGUGGUUAUUUAAGUCAGAGGUGAAAUCCUGCCGCUUAACGGUAGAACUGCCUUCGAUACUGAUUAACUUGAGUUAUUGUGAAGUAGUUAGAAUAUGUAGUGUAGCGGUGAAAUGCAUAGAUAUUACAUAGAAUACCGAUUGCGAAGGCAGAUUACUAACAAUAUACUGACACUGAGGGACGAAAGCGUGGGUAGCGAACAGGAUUAGAUACCCUGGUAGUCCACGCCGUAAACGAUGGUCACUAGCUGUUUGAUUAACAUUGGUUAAUUAAGUGGCUAAGCGAAAGUGAUAAGUGACCCACCUGGGGAGUACGCUCGCAAGAGUGAAACUCAAGGGAAUUGACGGGGGCCCGCACAAGCGGUGGAGCAUGUGGUUUAAUUCGAUGAUACGCGAGGAACCUUACCAGGGCUUAAAUGUAGAUUGCAUAAGCUAGAGAUAGCUUUUUCUUCGGACUAUCUACAAGGUGCUGCAUGGUUGUCGUCAGCUCGUGCCGUGAGGUGUCAGGUUAAGUCCUAUAACGAGCGCAACCCCUGUCGUUAGUUGCCAACAGGUUAUGCUGGGAACUCUAACGAGACUGCCGGUGCAAACUGAGAGGAAGGUGGGGACGACGUCAAAUCAUCACGGCCCUUACGUCCUGGGCUACACACGUGCUACAAUGGUCGGUACAGAGAGCAGCCACCUUGCGAAAGGGAGCAAAUCUUUAAAACCGGUCUCAGUUCGGAUCGCAGUCUGCAACUCGACUGCGUGAAGCUGGAAUCGCUAGUAAUCGCAUAUCAGCCAUGAUGCGGUGAAUACGUUCCCGGGCCUUGUACACACCGCCCGUCAAGCCAUGGAAGCUGGGGGUACCUGAAGUCGGUGACCGAAAGGAGCUGCCUAGGGUAAAACUAGUGACUGGGGCUAAGUCGUAACAAGAUAGCCGUACCGGAAGGUGCGGCUGGAACACCUCCUUUCU